AUUGAACGCUGGCGGCAGGUAUAACACAUGCAAGUCGAGCGGCGCGGCGGACGGGUGGGUGAUGCCUAGGCAUGUGCCUGGGAGUGGGGGAUAGCGUUAGGAACCGGGCCCUAUUCCCGCAUACUAUCAGAUGAGCCUAGGUCGGAUUAGCUAGUUGGUGGGGUAAAGGCCUACCAAGGCGACGAUCCGUAACUGGUCUGAGAGGAUGAUCAGGCACACUGGAACUGAGACACGGUCCAGACUCCUACGGGAGGCAGCAGUGGGGAAGAUUGGGCAGUGGGCGAAAGCCUGAUCGAGCCAUGCCGCGUGUGUGAAGAAGGUCUUGGGAUUGUAGAGCACUUUAAGGUGGGAGGCGGUAAACACAGAGUUGGCACCGGCUAACUUCGUGUCAGCAGCCGCGGUAAUAC
rnacentral:rRNA from 1 species